CCUACGGGAGGCAGCAGUGAGGAAUAUUGGUCAAUGGGCGAGAUCCUGAACCAGCCAAGCCGCGUGAGGGAAGACGGCCCUAUGGGUUGUAAACUUCUUUUGUCGGAGAAUAAAACCCGGGAUGUCUCCUGGAUUGCGUAUAUCCGAAGAAAAAGCAUCGGCUAACUCCGUGCCAGCAGCCGCGGUAAUACGGGGGGUGCGAGCGUUAUCCGGGAUUAAUGGGGUGAAAGGGUGCGGAGGCUGUGAGGUAAGUCAACGGUUGAAUGCCCCCGCUUAACGGGGUGAAGUGCCAUUGAUACUGCCUUUCUGGAAUGCGGAUGCCGUAGGAGGAAUGUGUGGUGUAGCGGUGAAAUGCAUAGAUAUCACGCAGAACACCGAUUGCGAAGGCAGCUCACGAAACCGCAAUUGACGCUGAUGCACGAAAGCGUGGGUAUCAAACAGGAUUAGAUACCCUUGUAGUC
rnacentral:rRNA from 1 species